rnacentral:rRNA from 1 species
GACGUAGGGCGCGAGCGUUGUCCGGAUUUAUUGGGCGUAAAGAGCUCGUAGGCGGCUUGUCGCGUCGGCUGUGAAAACCCGCGGCUCAACUGUGGGCGGGCAGCUGAUACGGGCAGGCUGGAGUUCGGUAGGGGAGACUGGAAUUCCUGGUGUAGCGGUGAAAUGCGCAGAUAUCAGGAGGAACACCGGUGGCGAAGGCGGGUCUCUGGGCCGAUACUGAUGCUGAGGAGCGAAAGCGUGGGGAGCGAACAGG